rnacentral:rRNA from 1 species
UCGCGGAUCAGCAUGCCGCGGUGAAUACGUUCCCGGGUCUUGUACACACCGCCCGUCACACCAUGGGAGCCGGUAAUACCCGAAGUCAGUAGUUUAACCCUUGUGGAGGACGCUGCCGAAGGUAGGAUUGGCGACUGGGGUGAAGUCGUAACAAGGUAGC